rnacentral:miRNA from 14 species
UUCUUUUUUAUAAAGAAAUAAAGUUAUCGCUUCUCGGCCUUUUGGCUAAGAUCAAGUGUAGAAAUAAAGUUAGCAGGUGCAGCUACCCACCAUGGUGGCAGAAGUCUGGGGAAGAGGCC